AUUGAACGCUGGCGGCAUGCCUUACACAUGCAAGUCGAACGGCAGCACGGGAGCAAUCCUGGUGGCGAGUGGCGAACGGGUGAGUAAAGCAUCGGAACGUGCCCAGUCGUGGGGGAUAACGUAGCGAAAGCUACGCUAAUACCGCAUACGAUCUGUGGAUGAAAGCGGGGGACCGUAAGGCCUUGCGCGAUUGGAGCGGCCGAUGUCAGAUCAGGUAGUUGGUGAGGUAAAGGCGCACCAAGCCGACGAUCUGUAGCUGGUCUGAGAGGACGACCAGCCACACUGGGACUGAGACACGGCCCAGACUCCUACGGGAGGCAGCAGUGGGGAAUUUUGGACAAUGGGCGCAAGCCUGAUCCAGCAAUGCCGCGUGCAGGAUGAAGGCCUUCGGGUUGUAAACUGCUUUUGUACGGAGCGAAACGGCUUCCACUAAUACUGGGGGCUAAUGACGGUACCGUAAGAAUAAGCACCGGCUAACUACGUGCCAGCCGCCGCCGUAAAAC
rnacentral:rRNA from 1 species